rnacentral:rRNA from 1 species
GAUGAACGCUGGCGGCGUGCCUAAUACAUGCAAGUCGAGCGAAUGGAUUAAGAGCUUGCUCUUAUGAAGUUAGCGGCGGACGGGUGAGUAACACGUGGGUAACCUGCCCAUAAGACUGGGAUAACUCCGGGAAACCGGGGCUAGUACCGGAUAACAUUUUGAACCGCAUGGUUCGACAUUGAGAGGCGGCUGCGGCUGUCACUUAUGGAUGGACCCGCGUCGCAUUAGCUAGUUGGUGAGGUAACGGCUCACCAAGGCAACGAUGCGUAGCCGACCUGAGAGGGUGAUCGGCCACACUGGGACUGAGACACGGCCCAGACUCCUACGGGAGGCAGCAGUAGGGAAUCUUCCGCAAUGGACGAAAGUCUGACGGAGCAACGCCGCGUGAGUGAUGAAGGCUUUCGGGUCGUAAAACUCUGUUGUUAGGGAAGAACAAGUGCUAGUUGAAUAAGCUGGCACCUUGACGGUACCUGACCAGAAAGCCACGGCUAACUACGUGCCAGCCGCCGCUGUAA